rnacentral:rRNA from 1 species
UACGGGGGGUGCAAACGUUGCUCGGAAUUAUUGGGCGUAAAGCGCACGUAGGCGGUCCUGUAAGUCGGGUGUGAAAGCCCGGGGCUUAACCCCGGAAGUGCACUCGAAACUGCAAGGCUUGAGUAUGGAAGAGGGUCUCGGAAUUCCCGGUGUAGAGGUGAAAUUCGUAGAUAUCGGGAGGAACACCAGUGGCGAAGGCGGAGACCUGGGCCAAUACUGACGCUGAGGUGCGAAAGCGUGGGUAGCAAACAGG